rnacentral:rRNA from 1 species
UACAGAGGUCUCAAGCGUUUGUUCGGAUUCAUUGGGCGUAAAGGGUGCGUAGGCGGCGCGGUAAGUCGGGUGUGAAAUUUCGGAGCUUAACUCCGAAACUGCAUUCGAUACUGCCGUGCUUGAGGACUGGAGAGGAGACUGGAAUUUACGGUGUAGCAGUGAAAUGCGUAGAGAUCGUAAGGAAGACCAGUGGCGAAGGCGGGUCUCU